UACGAAGGGUGCAAGCGUUACUCGGAAUUACUGGGCGUAGAGCGUGCGUAGGCGGUUUGUUAAGUCUGAUGUGAAAUCCCCGGGCUCAACCUGGGACGUGCAUUGGAAACUGGCAAUCUAGAGUACGGUAGAGGGUGGUGGAAUUCCCGGUGUAGCAGUGAAAUGCGUAGAGAUCGGGAGGAACACUCGUGGCGAAGGCGGCCACCUGGACCAGUACUGACGCUGAGGCACGAAAGCGUGGGGAGCAAACAGG
rnacentral:rRNA from 1 species